CCACCGCGCCCGGCCGGGUUUCCCUAUUUUUAUUUGCCCUUGUUCUUGGGGACUGAUCUUGGUCUGGUAAGAGAAAUCAGGUGAAAGUACACAAUCAUAGGUUGGAGUAGGAGCUUCAGAUUUUGACGCCCCUCCCCCUACUUCUUAUAACACCCUCCCUGAGAUCAUAAAUUCACAGUUUACAAAUUUACAGGGGAGGAAUUGUGGUGGCUUUCCAAGACUAGUCCCUUUUACAUACUGUGACCUAGUUAGAUCUCAUUUCUUCUGAUCAUUCGCUUGUCUUAUAUUUCGGGGGGCAGUGUGGAGGGCGGCGACGUCGCUGACCCGCGCGCGGUGUGUGGAGCCUUCUAUUUCAGUCUCUUCACUUUAAUACGUGGUGCCCCGGGACGUUAUCAGAGCCAGCCACAGAUGCCACAUGUAAAGCAGCAAACAUCCGGAGUGGCUUCCUGCAAGCCUUGCUUUUCUCAACACAAGAGAUUUACGCAGGGGGUUGGGGGAAACAACUUUCACAAGUAAGAGCCGAGUACACCGCUCGCAUAGCCGUUCGGGUGCGUUAGCACUGCACGGUCCAGGGUCGCAGGGCUCCUGGCUACUAAUUGCGCUCACGUCCCCGGGUCCUUGGGCCGGACCCGAGGCUCUAAAGGCUGGGCAAGGAAGCGACUAGCGCACCAAGAAGCUGUGCCCGUUGCCAGUUGGGGCCUUUGGUCAGCGGGCGCAGAAAUUAACUCGGGUAGGUGGCGAACCGUGGGGCUGACCUGGAGGAAUCAGAGCCACGCUUAUCCGUGGGCCCCUGAGUGACCAGGCAAAGGCUGGGUGAUUUCCGGCAGGCUUUUGUGUUUUCGAUGCUGGGAAAGCAGGGGCUGGAGGAAGGACACUCAAGUCGAUCGGGAAGGACCCGUGGGCACCUAGGCAGAUCCGGGUUGGCGCUGGAGAGCAAGUCUGUGGGGGCGGGGGAGGGGAGUGCGCGCCGCAAACCCUGGGAAAACUCCAGGCUGCCCGUGGAUGACUAGACAAUGGUAUCCCUGAACAAAGAACAACAAUAAGGCCUUUGCAUUUAUAAAUCGUGCGCGGGCGGCUGCCUCCCGGAGGCCAGCACGAGGUGGCGCGCGGCGGUGGAGCGCGGCCGAGGGUCCCGCACCUCCCAGGUGUGGACUGCAAAAGGAUCCAUUCAGCUCAUGUGGUCCUCACAUCAGAACACAAUUGCACCCAGCACAGAGUGAACUCUCAUGCGGGUACUCUUUGAAGAUCAGAGAGGGGGCCAGGCCAAGUCCCUCAUGUCCAGAUGGCCACCAGCAGCUCCAGGCUCGGAUUCUCCCAUUUUGCAAACCCAGCAGAAGGAACUCUUGCUGACCAGUAGUUCCCAAGACUGAUUUUCUGUGGGGCUGGUGGAGAUGAAUGGCCAACCCUGAAUCAGUCACUGCACCAGGGGGAUGAUCCCUCUUUCUGCCUUGGAGCUGGCUUAUCAGAGCUAAUGAGCAGGUAGCUGCAGCUCCCAGUCGGAAGCUGGGGAAAGGACCUGAGGGUAUGGCCCUGUUGCUGGGCACACAUGCAUUUUGAAUGGGACCCUGCUAAGCCAGAAGAUAGGAUGGCAAAGGAGACAUAUGUCCCACUCUCGAGAGCUCGUAAGUCACGUGGGAUGAAGGUUGUGUACACAAGUGACAGGCAGUGACAUCGCUAGUGUGUGGGUACACAAUAAGAGACCCUGCCCUGCCCUGCUCUAGGGCUCCCUCAGGGCCAGGAGGGGCUUUUCUCAUGAUGAAGCCUGGUGGUAGAGUCUUGCAGGGUGAGUGACAGGCACACACUUCAGGAUGUUCAGAGAGUGAGAAUACAUCCACUUGCUAAAUCAAAACGUUAUCAGGAAACCUUUGUCUUCCCUAAGAAAGUGGACUAUCUGUAAAAAUAACCACAGCCAGCAGCGGGGCUCUCUCAUAAGGAGGUGGAGACAGGGC
rnacentral:lncRNA from 1 species